UACGGAGGAUCCGAGCGUUAUCCGGAUUUAUUGGGUUUAAAGGGUGCGUAGGCGGCCUUGUAAGUCAGGGGUGAAAGACGGUAGCUUAACUAUCGCAGUGCCUUUGAUACUGCAGGGCUUGAAUGUACUUGAGGUAGGCGGAAUGUGACAAGUAGCGGUGAAAUGCAUAGAUAUGUCACAGAACACCAAUUGCGAAGGCAGCUUACUAAAGUAUGAUUGACGCUGAGGCACGGAAGCGUGGGGAGCAAACAGG
rnacentral:rRNA from 1 species